rnacentral:rRNA from 1 species
AUAUACGGCCAUAUCAUGUUGAAUGUACCGGUUCUCACCCAAUAACCGAAGUUAAGCAACAUUGAGCCUAGAUAGUACUUAGAUGGGUGACUGCAUGAAAAACCUAGGUGCUGUAAGCA